rnacentral:lncRNA from 1 species
UCCCAUAGUAAUCUAUUACUUGUCCUCAUUCACAUUUCCAUGAUUGGCUCCAAAUGUCUUUACAGAUUAAUACCUCAUUUGGUUCAGUUCAGAAUCUAAGCAGGGUCCACACGUUUGCAUCUGAUUGAUGUGUAUCUUUAGGUUACUUUUUUAUUCUCUUUCCUCAUGUUGUUUCUUAUAUGAGUAGCUUUCUCAGGAGCAGAAAACCUUUCCAGGCUACUUUCUUUCCUUUCAUAAUUUUACUUCU